GAUGAACGCUGGCGGCAUGCCUAAUACAUGCAAGUCGAACGAGAGGAAGGAAAGCUUGCUUUCCUAAAUCUAGUGGCGAACGGGUGAGUAACACGUAGGUAACCUGCCCAUGUGCCCGGGAUAACUUCUGGAAACGGAUGCUAAAACCGGAUAGGUAGCAGACAAGCAUUUGACUGCUAUUAAAGUGGCUAAGGCCAUGAACAUGGAUGGACCUGCGGUGCAUUAGCUAGUUGGUGAGGUAACGGCCCACCAAGGCGACGAUGCAUAGCCGGCCUGAGAGGGCGGACGGCCACAUUGGGACUGAGACACGGCCCAAACUCCUACGGGAGGCAGCAGUAGGGAAUUUUCGUCAAUGGGGGGAACCCUGAACGAGCAAUGCCGCGUGAGUGAGGAAGGUCUUCGGAUCGUAAAGCUCUGUUGUAAGAGAAAAACGGCACUCAUAGGGAAUGAUGAGUGAGUGAUGGUAUCUUACCAGAAAGUCACGGCUAACUACGUGCCAGCAGCCGCGGUAAUACGUAGGUGGCGAGCGUUAUCCGGAAUGAUUGGGCGUAAAGGGUGCGUAGGUGGCAGAUCAAGUCUGGAGUAAAAGGUAUGGGCUCAACCCGUACUUGCUCUGGAAACUGAUCAGCUAGAGAACAGAAGAGGACGGCGGAACUCCAUGUGUAGCGGUAAAAUGCGUAGAUAUAUGGAAGAACACCGGUGGCGAAGGCGGCCGUCUGGUCUGGAUUCUGACACUGAAGCACGAAAGCGUGGGGAGCAAAUAGGAUUAGAUUC
rnacentral:rRNA from 1 species